rnacentral:tRNA from 1 species
GCUGUGGCUCAACGAUGGAGCAUCUGCUUGGUAUGCAGAAGGUCCUGGGUUCAAUCCCCAGCAUCUCCA